GCCGCCUUAGCUCAGUCGGCUAGAGCGACGCACUCGUAAUGCGUAGGUCCCGAGUUCGAUUCUCGGAGGCGGCCCCA
rnacentral:tRNA from 2 species